CCCGCGCUUUUCGCGCGUCGCCUCCGGGAGCGCUCGCCUAGUGAAGAAGCUCAGGGGAGAGGCGCGGCCGCCAAAGCAGGAGAGAGAGUGACUUGACGCCGGGAGGGAGACCCCAAAGAGGCCUCAGCCGCAGAAGGCCGGAGUCCUGGCCGCUGUUGGCCUUCCCCGAGGGCUUCGACCGGGCCCCUCAGGCCGCGCACCGGCUGAGCGCCGCCCUCCUCACGGACCCCGUCCUGCCUCGCCGACCCAGUCGCCCUGGUUGGAUGGAGACAGAGAAAAAGAGAACGAAUCCAGGAAUCCAGACGAUCUGCAGAGAACACUGUAUUCUGUGCACAUGCACAGGAGGUACAUGGUGGCAUAAGCCCUGGACUGGGAGGCAGGAAAAUCUGCGUUCAGCUCCCUGAUCAUCAUCUAACUAGUUGUGAAUGAUUCAGCAUGAUUGAAAGCUACUGCUCUUCUACCACAAUGAACUGAGCCACAAAAUGGUUUGUGCAGCCAGCUGAAAAGGACAACGCUCUUCGGCAGUAAUGUGGGGAUCCUGUUGCCUCUGUCUGUUCAUUCAUUCACUCUAUCAGAGCAAUGUCAGGAUGAAACUGUAGACAGAGUUUUACUUGCUCAUAGGGGGCCACAUGCGGAGGCCUCACACCUGGCACCUCAGACAGGGUUCCUAGUGUGAAACGACUAUGCUGACACGUCAGCUCAGGCCGGGACCUUGUACAGAAGUGCUGAGCACAGCACGGCAAUUCAAGAUGGAGGUGG